UUCAGCAGUGGCAUAACAUGGUAGUGGUGAUAUCCUGCCCGAAAGAGCAGUUGAGCCGCUACAUUAUACACUAGCUGCAGCUUCUGCACCAACCUCAAGGGCAGCCACACAUACGCUCCAUUGCAGUACUCUACUGGCUGCAAUGGAAUGAUUCUUUCGAGCUUAAUUUCAGCAGGGGGAAAAGACCCUGUGGACAGCAGAGAAAGUCCUGACAGGAAUAGGUGUGGCUGUGGACACCACUUUGGCAAUCCCGGGACACUGUGUCUGGACUAGAACAUGCACCACUUCUACGAUGAGCUUUACUUCCAUCUGUAUCCUCCCCCCCAACUACCCUCUUUUAAAGAUGACGGCACCUAGGAAAUACCUAUAUCUCUAACUGAUGGCAUUUUGGAAGCACUAAAUUAGAAUGUUAAAAGUUUUUCCAGAGUCUUCAGCUCUCGUCCUCUUGAAAUUUAAGCAGUGUGAGGGAAGUGCAUGAGACUUGAAUGGUCAGGUCUUCAAAUAUUUAUAAGUAUUUCCAGAAAAAUCCAGCCUUGCAUUGGGUUGAAUGCAACCUUUAACACACACAUUUAAAGUUUGAUUUCUUUAAUGUUUUCCUUUAAAUAAAAUAUUUCAAUUCAA